rnacentral:rRNA from 1 species
GUCCACGCCCUAAACGAUGUCAACUAGGUGUCGGGAGCGCAAGUUCUUGGUACCGCAGCUAACGCGUGAAGUUGACCGCCUGGGGAGUACGGUCGCAAGAUUAAAACUCAAAGGAAUUGACGGGGACCCGCACAAGCGGUGGAUGAUGUGGAUUAAUUCGAUGCAACGCGAACAACCUUACCUACCCUUGACAUGUCCGGAAUCCUGCUGAAAGGCGGGAGUGCCCGAAAGGGAAUCGUAACACAGGUGCUGCAUGGCUGUCGU